AUGAUACGCGAGGAACCUUACCUGGGCUAGAACGCAUUCGGAAUCAGGCCGAAAGGCCUGCGCCAGCGAUGGCCGCUUGCGAGGUGCUGCAUGGUUGUCGUCAGCUCGUGCCGUGAGGUGUCGGGUUAAGUCCCAUAACGAGCGCAACCCCUACUGCUAGUUGCCAGCGGGUCAUGCCGGGGACUCUAGCGGAACUGCCAGCGUAAGCUGCGAGGAAGGUGGGGAUGACGUCAAAUCAGCACGGCCCUUACGUCCAGGGCUACACACGUGUUACAAUGGCCGGUACAGAGGGCAGCCACCCCGCGAGGGGGCGCGAAUCCCGAAAGCCGGUCCCAGUUCGGAUCGGAGUCUGCAACCCGACUCCGUGAAGCUGGAUUCGCUAGUAAUCGCGCAUCAGCCACGGCGCGGUGAAUACGUUCCCGGGCCUU
rnacentral:rRNA from 1 species